rnacentral:rRNA from 1 species
ACCCGCUGAACUUAAGCAUAUCAAUAAGCGGAGGAAAAGAAACCAACAGGGAUUGCCUCAGUAACGGCGAGUGAAGCGGCAAGAGCUCAAAUUUGAAAGCUGGCCCCUUCGGGGUCCGCGUUGUAAUUUGCAGAGGAUGCUUCGGGUGCAGCCCCCGUCUAAGUGCCCUGGAACGGGCCGUCAUAAAGGGUGAAAAUCCCGUCUGGGACGGGGUGUCUGCGUCCGUGUUAAGCUCCUUCGACGAGUCGAGUUGUUUGGGAAUGCAGCUCUAAAUGGGUGGUAAAUUUCAUCUAAAGCUAAAUACUGGCCGGAGAACCGAUUAGCGCACAAGUAGAGUGAUCGAAAGAUGAAAAGCACUUUGAAAAGAGAGUUAAACAGCACGUGAAAUUGUUGAAAGGGAAGCGUUUGCGACCAGACUCGCCCGCGGGGUUCAGCCGGCAUUCGUGCCGGUGUACUUCCCCGUGGGCGGGCCAGCGUCGGUUUGGGCGGCCGGUCAAAGGCCUCGGAAUGUAUCACCUCUCGGGGUGUCUUAUAACCGAAGGUGCAAUGCGGCCUGCCUGGACCGAGGAACGCGCUUCGGCUCGGACGCUGGCGUAAUGGUCGUAAAUGACCCGUCUUGAAACACGGACCAAGGAGUCUAACAUCUACGCGAGUGUUCGGGUGUCAAACCCGUACGCGCAGUGAAAGCGAACGGAGGUGGGAGCCCCCUCGCGGGGCGCACCAUCGACCGAUCCUGAUGUCUUCGGAUGGAUUUGAGUACGAGCGUAGCUGUGGGACCCGAAAGAUGGUGAACUAUGCCUGAAUAGGGCGAAGCCAGAGGAAACUUUGGUGGAGGCUCGCAGCGGUUCUGACGUGCAAAUCGAUCGUCAAAUUUGGGUAUAGGGGCGAAAGACUAAUCGAACCAUCUAGUAGCUGGUUCCUGCCGAAGUUUCCCUCAGGA